AGUAACAGGCAUACCAAUUUCAAAAUUACUGGGAUCUGGGCUUCUCAAAAGUAAAAACCAUAAUCUUUCAUCACUCAUCUCACUCAAAAAUAUACAGUAUAGUACAGUUAGCUCACUAAUGUGUUAGUCAUACAGUAACAGCUUCUCCAGUUGGUGGGAGAUUAUUAAGUUUUGAUACAAGAAGUGAAUUUGGAUUAAUUCCUCAUAUAUGUCAAGAGGGGUCCCUGGCUUAACACUAUUCAGCACUAUAUUAUCAUGGCUAUUUGUUAGUAGUGUGUGUAGGAAUUGUAUGUCAAGGCCUCUGUAUGAGAUGUUUUAUUUGAUAACCCUGCUCUUAGGACAGUGGCCAAAACUGUGAGAUGGAUUAGCUCAAUCAUUCCUGGGAUUACUCCUAAACCCUCUAGAGUAAAAUGGGAAGGAUUCUUUCAAUGCUAUAGAAACAGUGUUCUACAGAAGCAUUUACAAGUUGUAC
rnacentral:lncRNA from 1 species